AUUGAACGCUGGCGGCAGGCCUAACACAUGCAAGUCGAACGAUUGGCGGACGGGUGAGUAAUGUCUGGGCCACUGCCUGAUGGAGGGGGAUAACUACUGGAAACGGUAGCUAAUACCGCAUACCAUCGGCUUGGCCCAGAUGGGAUUAGCUCGUAGGGGGGGUAACGGCUCACCUAGGCGCCGAUCCCUAGCUGGUCUGAGAGGAUGACCAGCAACACUGGAACUGAGACACGGUCCAGAAUCCUACGGGAGGAAGCAGUGGGGAAUAUGGAACAAUGGGCGAAAGCCUGAUGCAGCCAUGCCGCGUGUAUGAAGAAGGCCUGCGGGUUGUAAAGUACGUUCAGCGGGGAGGCGUUACCCGCAGAAGAAGCACCGGCUAACUCCGUGCCAGCAGCCGCGGUAAUAC
rnacentral:rRNA from 1 species